rnacentral:lncRNA from 1 species
AUGAAAGGAUCUCAGACUGAAUCUGAGCAGCAGGAACGGUUGUUUGCCAUGUUGGAGCAGAAGAAUGGUGAAAUAAAACAUCUUUUAGGUGAAAUUAGAAAUCUGGAGAAAUUUAAGAAUUUAUAUGAAAGUAUGGAAUCUAAGCCUUCCAUGCCAGACAGUUCUGGUGUUCUAGAAGACAAAACCUUCUAUACAGAUUUACUUCAGCUAAAACUUGAUAACUUAAAGUAAGUGUCUGGGUGGGUAGAUGGAAAGAUGAAGACUUUUCACAUGCUUAAAAUAGAUAGCAUUAAUGGCUACAAUUUUUUUCUUUAAUUGCCAAAUUUCCAAAAAAGAAAG